rfam:Spinacia oleracea cultivar SynViroflay scaffold24998.con0001.1, whole genome shotgun sequence.
UGAGGUCGUGUGAUGAUUUUAAAUGCAUAGUUCAUAUGAUUGUAUCUAUGAUUAACGUAAUUCAAAUAGUCUUUCGCUCCUAUCUGAUGAUCUCA